AGGAGGCCAUUCUGUUUCCCAAGUCCCAGCUUACCCUCACUGUGGCCUAGAAAGUUAGGCCAGGCAGGAAAUGAACAGUACAGGCUCUGCAGUGACAGUAGGGAGAAUCUGGCACGCGUGCACACGUGUGUGUGUGCGCGCGCGCACACACGUGAGUGCAGCAGCUGCGGAAAUGAGGAGAGGAACUCUCUGAAGAUGUGCCAGAUGGAGAACUCUCUCCCUCACCUACCUUGUCCCUGUGCCAGGCCUCUUUAGUCCUGAGCAUCCAAAGGCCUCUUCCAUGGCUAAAUGAAUCAGAACCAGCAAAUAAGAUUACUAUGCCCUCACUUUGAUUGCCUGGUUUGGUGAGUGAGGAGGAAG